GUGGCGCGACCACUAAGCAGUGUGCCCCCCCUCCACGGUGGAACUAGCAAAACAGAACCAGUUGGCAAUUACGAGGAACACCAAUCAUUCGUACAUUUAUUAAUUCACCCUCGCACUCAUACCCAUUUACUCCAGGUUAAAAAAGGAGGCAGUCCGCGAGGUUAGAUGUAAAAGGUCCUUCCCGCUAGCUGCCCCAGGACAGAACAAAAGAAACAGAAAGUAGACAGAAUAAAAAUAAUACAUAAGACAGUCGGCAUGGACCAGAUGUAGAGAGUCUUCCCCAUACUAAUUGUUACGACGUGCACCAAAUUAAUAAAAUUAAAAUGAAUAAAAUUCUUUAAAAUACAAAUGAUAAAAAAAAUUGUAGAAAUAAAAUUUGAUAAAUAAAUAAAACCAGGUAAAAUAGAAUAAAAUAGGCAGAUAGCGAAAUUUGGUUGUAAAGGGUCCUCUCCCCGCUGGCUGCCUUCCAUGAUACAAAACACGUUAUACAAUAAAUAAACGGUCAUCCGCCUGCAGUCGCCCCUCUUUCUCUUCUUAAUGCUUUAUUGUCUUUGUGACAAAAGCAAUGAUAAGGUCGAAAUAUCGCUUGCUGUCGAUAGCUUUAUGAUUAGCUCCUCUAAAGGGGAUCCCAGGCCCAGCUACAGCUCGGUACGCCGUUCUUCGUGACAUGCGGGGCAUACGAACACGACAUGCCGAGUGUCAUUCACCACCUCGCACUCAGGACAUAGACCGUUCUCGGUUUCCCCUAUAUCUUACGACCUACCACAAUUGUAACCAUAUUAUAGUUGAAUUAUAGCACACUAAUGUGUACACAAAAUGAAUAAAGGCCGCGUUGCUCAGAAUCGGAGAUGUGGGGGAGGUUCUUUGGAGCAUUCUUACUAGCUCAGAAAAAGAAAUAAAAUUGGAGAAAAAGAAUAUAAAGGUAUGUCAUCUAGACAUCAUCUCCGAUGUAACACUUUCCGCUGAACACGAUGGAGGUCGCAGAAUUAUCCUACGACUUCAGAAAAAGCCGAAAAAUUUGCUGAGUAAAUUACUUUUGUUUUCAUUUCUCCCCAAUAUGUCUAUCACAGUUUUGUUUUUUUAUCGCUGUUUCAAUGUUUGUAGGUAGGUACCCUAGUUGUUCUGUGGUUUGUUAAAGUUUUUCUGCAUUGACUUGCAAGUGCGAAAUUUGUUUUAAGCAAUUUGGUCAAGCAGGUGCUUUAAAAAGACAUUUGAGAGUGUAUACUGGGGAAAAACCUCAUAAGUGUGAAAUUUGUUUUAAGCAAUUUAGUAGAGAAGACUAUUUAAAAGAUCAUUUAUUGAGAACACACACUGAAGAAAAACCUCACAAGUGUGAAAUCUGUUUUAAGCAGUAUAUUACAGCAAGACAUCUGGAAUUGAAUUUGAGAGUGCACACUGGAGAAAAACCUCACAAGUGUGAAAUUUGUUUUAAGCAAUUUAUUCAAGCAGGUGCUUUUUUAAAAAGACAUUUGAGUGUGCAUACUGGAGAAAGACCUCACAAAUGUGAAAUUUGUUUUAAACAGUUUAUUACAGCAAGUGAGCUGAAACUACAUUUUUUUAAACUGCACACUAAAGAAGAACCUCACAAGUGCGAAAUUUGUUUUAAGCAAUUUGGUCAAGCAGGUUCUUUAAAAAGUCAUUUAAGAGUGCAUGCUGAAUAAAAACCUCACAAGUGUAAAAUUUGCUUAAAAUUGGUCAAAAAUCUCAAUUAACUGGUCACUUCCCCGAUAGCAUGUAAACUUGUGACAAGUUUGAUUCUUCUUUGAUUUUAAAUUGCUGCGUCAAAUAUGACGAGGCAAGUUUGUGUCAAGUUUGCUGCAAUAUUGUUAUGACAAAGAUGAUGAUUCAAGUUUGUAGCAAAGCAACUUUGCUGCAAGCGUACAGUUGCAAAGCCAUGUCACACGUGCCAUCUAUUACGCGAGAUUUCAGUUUCUCCAGGACUUGUGUUAUGGGAGAAUUUGGACCAAUCACGAGUCACAGAUUUUCGAUUUUUUGACACUUGACAGUUCGAUUGUCAACUUUCGAAAAUGAAAAUAGAUCCAUACCAUUUACCACAAUAAGGGCCGGUACUUUAUGUCUCCGUUAACAGCCGGUUAGUUAACCGGGGUUUAAUCGGGACAUAAAUAUAUGCAUAACAUAGACAUAAACGCAAUUAUACUUAUUAUUAUAUUCAUAAAUAAUUAUAAUGAUAAUUAUAAUUGCUUUUAUUACAACGCAAGAGGCUCUAUGAGGUACUUUUCUGUCCCGAUUAAACCCCGGUUAGCUAACCGAGGUUUAACCGGGACAUAAAGUACCGGCCCUAAAACUAAAAACAAAUUUGUUUUUAAUAUUGUGUGUUUACCUCUUUAAUUUUGUUAUUUUUAUCCAUUUUUAUUUUGUUCUGUAGUAUUCUGUACUUUUAUUGAUCUUUGUAGGUUAAUUGGAUUAUUUAGAAGUUUAAUUGGAUUUACUUACUUGUAUUUAUCAAAGUGCACUCUAAAAAUGAACGCUGUGUCUAGGUACACGCUAACGUGUACGCAAAUAAAAAAGUUAGGUACACGCGAAACAUCAUCAAGUCAGUGACGUCACUAUUUAGCGUGCACUAUGGCACUGUUAUUGGUUUUUUGCAUACACGCUAAUAACUUGAGCCGCGUGUAUGCUGUGGUAAGUAGGUAGGAUAUAUUCCGUGAUUAUCAGAAUCUUAAUUUGUCUAAUCGCGUUGUGUUUACACUUUAAUAUUGAUUAGUAAAGAGAUUUCUUAUUUGUUUUUAAAUCAACUAUGGAGUGUCCCAAGUAGCAAUUUGUCGACGCGACAACGUUGUCUACCGCGUGGCAACGUUUUCUUACAACGUUGUUAUUACCUAGAAGACGACCCUAUGCUGCACUGGUUUGGUGGACGAUUUUUGAGUUGUCUUGACGUUGCCUAGGCAACCUCCUGUAAGCAACAUCGUUUCGUAAGCGUUGCAUAAGACAACUGAAGCGACUAUAAAAUGCACCUGCGCGUGCAAUAGUUGCUCAAGGAGUCAGACUAGUUAUGUUUUUUUACCUAUAUUUUUAACACCUGUAUGGUGAAUGCGAAAACCAAAAAGUAAACUGUUUUGACAUCGUAUUGGGUAUUUAAAUUUAUAUAAAUACAUAAAGGACUUCCCUAACAACACACAACAUUCCAGGAAUGUAUUACCAAAGUUCUAUCAAUAUUUGAAUGUCCUGGACAUUUAGGGAACAUUCGGUGAACAUCUGUUUAAAUUAUUCCUGGAAUGUUACCAUAAGACAUUCUGUGAACAUACUACCAAUGUUCCUAUAUUUUAAGUUGCGAAAUAAUACAUACGUGUAACAGAUACAACAUUACUUAUAACAUACCAGACAAACUAAGUGACACUUUAGGCCUACAGUGCAAUAAUAUGUCAAAUUUAAAGAGUUUCCCAAGUUCAAUUAAUACAAUAUUAUAAACAUACAAAUGUAAUAAAAAUUAUUGUUCGCGAAUAUUCAAUUUGGAAUGCGAUUUUGUUAAUAAAAAAAAUACUUAUAACUUAUGCAAAACCCAAGAGAGGCAUUUAUAUUUAUUUCUUUUGCGUUCAUUUUCAAAUUCGCCGUGCAUAUAUUUUUGUGCAUGGCGCUUGAGAGGGCAUCACGUGACUAAAAACGACCAACCAACGACCUCGCUUCGGCCAUCUUGGCAUCUUCAUCUUGGCCACCUUGCUUUGCCGUGGGUGGAUCGUUGUUUGUAUUAUUUGUGCUUUUUAAGAAUAUUUUUUUAAUUAGGAUACUUUUAUAAUAGCUUUAAUAGUAUUAUUAACAUAGUGAAUAAAAUGGUGUCCUGUUUUUAACGCAGUUGGAGUAGCAGAAACAAAUGUAGAUAAAAAAAUCUGCAGGAAUAACGUUUCAAUUAUGACAGAAGCUCCAAACAAAUGACUGUGAAUGAAAAGCCCUAUUAAAAGCUUUCCAGAAGAUCCUGCGAAGAAGACAUGAAGUAUAGAUCAGAUUUGUUAAUAGAGGAGUAUGUUCAAAACACUUUUUAGAAAAAGAUAUUGACAGAACUUCACUUUCAUCUGUUCGUUUAAGAGACUGUGCUGUUCCAAUAGCUUAUGUCACACAGAAUCAGCUGAGAGAAGUGGUCUACAAAAAACCAGAAAGGAAACGGAAUAUGUGGCUACGAAAAGCAAAAGAAAGGUUUACAAAGCAAAUGUGACACAUUUUUUUAUAAUAUUUAGGAAUGUCAGUAAAUUACAUUAAAAAAUGUAUGUAAAGAUUUUUUGCAAUAAAAAUGUUUAUAUUUAUCAA